rnacentral:rRNA from 1 species
AGAGUUUGAUCAUGGCUCAGGACGAACGCUGGCGGCNNNNUUAAUACAUGCAAGUCGAGCGAGAACCAGGGCUUCGGCCCUGGGGACAGCGGCGAACGGGUGAGUAACACGUGGGUAAUCAACCCUCGACACUGGGAUAGCCCGGGGAAACCCGGAUUAAUACCGGAUACCCCAUCUGGCCUUCGGGCCGGCUGGAAAAGGUAGCUUCGGCCUCCGGUCGGGGACGAGCCCGCGGCGGAUUAGCUUGUUGGCGGGGUAAUGGCCCACCAAGGCGACGAUCCGUAGCUGGUCUGAGAGGACGAUCAGCCACACUGGGACUGAGACACGGCCCAGACUCCUACGGGAGGCAGCAGUAGGGAAUCUUGCGCAAUGGGCGAAAGCCUGACGCAGCGACGCCGCGUGAGGGAAGAAGGCCUUCGGGUUGUAAACCUCUUUCAGGAGGGACGAAGCCACUCGGGUUAAUAGCCCAGAGGGUGACGGUACCUCCAGAAGAAGCCCCGGCUAACUACGUGCCAGCAGCCGCGGUAAUACGUAGGGGGCAAGCGUUGUCCGGAUUUAUUGGGCGUAAAGAGCGUGUAGGCGGCCAAACAGGUCCACUGUGAAAACUCGAGGCUCAACCUCGAGAGGUCGGUGGAAACCGUCUGGCUAGAGUCCGGAAGAGGAGAGUGGAAUUCCCGGUGUAGCGGUGAAAUGCGCAGAUAUCGGGAAGAACACCCGUGGCGAAGGCGGCUCUCUGGGACGGUACUGACGCUGANNNNCGAAAGCGUGGGGAGCGAACAGGAUUAGAUACCCUAGUAGUCC